rnacentral:lncRNA from 1 species
UUUAAAUUUCUCUGUUGUCAUUGGCAGAGUAUGCCCUUAUGAAAACCAUAAUUUUCUUAGUUUUACCCAAAAUUUUGGCAAUGUUCUUGGAUGUUUUUUAGUAAUAUCUGAAGCCCAACGGUUACCCUUGAGAGCUUUCUUCUUUUCUCGUCUUCUUCUCUUUUUUUUUUCCCUCUCUUCCUCACCAUGCUUUUCCCCUCUUCCCACCAUCCCCUAUUUGUAGGAGAGGGAAGCCAAGGUGUUAGUUGUCUAUCUGAUGUGGGACAUGUGGUUCACCAUUUUAACUUCCUAACUGAUGUGAGACCUUUG